GCGUGCCGGGACCUUGGCUCUAGACUGCUUACUGCGAAAUCCAAGGGGCGAAACAGUAACAGUCCACAGUCAUGGCUACUGACGGCUG
rnacentral:pre_miRNA from 1 species